GGUACGGACGGAUGAUAGUCUUCAACGACCGUUCAGUUUGACACGAGGUCGGUGGGACUUUCGUCCGUUUGUAAG
rnacentral:pre_miRNA from 1 species